UAAUACGUAGGGUGCAAGCAUUAAUCGGAUUUAUUGGGCGUAAAGGGCGCGUAGGCGGGGUAAUAAGUCAGAUGUUAAAGCCCGGAGCUCAACUCCGGAAAAGCAUUUGAAACUAUAACUCUAGAGGGUAGGCGGAGAAAAUGGAAUUCCACAAGUAGCGGUGAAAUGCGUAGAUAUGUGGAAGAACACCGGUGGCGAAGGCGGUUUUCUAGCUUAUACCUGACGCUGAGGCGCGAAAGCAAGGGGAGCAAACAGG
rnacentral:rRNA from 1 species